rnacentral:tRNA from 1 species
GCGCAGGUAGCUCAGCGGUAGAGCACUCGGUUGAAGCCCGGGGUGUCGAUGGUUCGAACCCAUCCUUGCGCACCA